rnacentral:rRNA from 1 species
AAUGAACGUUGGCGGCGUGGAUUAGGCAUGCAAGUCGAGCGAGAAGAGUUUGGUAGCUUGCUAUUGAACUCGGAAAGCGGCGAAAGGGAGAGUAACGCGUAGUUACGUGCCCCAGGGUUCGGAAUAGCCACGGGAAACUGUGGGUAAUGCCGAAUAACAUCUCCGGAUCAAAGGUGUGAUUCCGCCCUGGGAGCGGACUGCGUCCUACUAGCUAGUUGGCGGGGUAAUGGCCCACCAAGGCAACAAUGGGUAGCGGGUGUGAGAGCAUGACCCGUCUCACUGGGACUGAGCCAUUGCCCAGACACCUACGGGUGGCUGCAGUCGAGAACCCUCGGCAAUGGGCGAAAGCCUGACCGAGCGACGCCGCGUGCGGGAUGAAGGCCCUCGGGUUGUAAACCGCUGUCGUAGGGGAGGAAGGCUCCAUGAAGAAUGGGGUUUGACCUAUCCUAGGAGGAAGUACGGGCUAAGUUCGUGCCAGCAGCCGCCGUAA